GCCCCAAAUCCACCCUUCUUCCAGCGGCGGCCCGUCCCCACAGCCCCCCCCCCCCCCCCCCUCCCCCGACAGCCAGAGACGUGCGAGCAGGUAGCGGGUUUAUUCUCCAAUAUUCGUUACAAGGAGCAGGCGAGGGCCCCGGGGCAGGUGGGGAACCAUCCCCGACAUCAAACGGUGCAGUUUCCCUCGCCGUAGCGCCGGCACUUCAUCACCUUCAGUGGGCAAAGCUCUAACUCAGACCCAAGCCACAUGCAUCUGGAGCUGAGAGAUCUGCAGCCUGCCACUCCUCCUGCCCUGCUUUGCUGACCCGCUGGCACAGUAAACAGGACAGUAAACAGUGUCAUAAAUGGGCCUUGCCCUCAUGAGAAGAGCACAGUGCACUCUUCAUUGUGUGAGCAAGCAGGGGUUGGCGAGUACCAGGCGAGGGCCUGGGAUUACCUCACUUUAGCCUUGGUUUACACCAUGCUGCUGACGUGAAACCGGCUGUCUGCCUUCACUAGGACAAGAGCUGAUGGCAUUACCUGUGCUGUGACCAGCUAUUUUUGCUCUCUGGGGCAUACCUGUAGAAUCUGGUGAUCUUUGUCAAGCGUAAAGGUUUUCAACCUUCAACAUCUAACUCGCACAAUGUCCAUCUGUGCUUACAGAGACCACAAAGUUAAUCUCAGACAAAUACCCUUCAGUGGAGGAAUGCCUUGGAGCCUGUAGGACUUGGACAUACACAUUAGACAUCAUCCUGAUACCCGUCCCAAGCACAGAGAUGCCAGGAUGAUCCAGACUGUGUGGUGCCCCUGAGGCUUGGUUUGUCCCCGAUCAUCUCUGGGCAUUAAAUGAGGCAGAAGCUUCGUGGAGAAGGCAGUGCGUGACUGAAAUGCUGGGCUGGGCAAACACAUGCCACUGGCAGAAUUACGUUGCAUAAGCAGCUCUCAAAUACCAGCUUGGCAUUUUUCUGGCUUUCAAAUGCCUGCAUUUGCGACCCAAAGUAGCAUCUCAUAAAGCAGCAUGACACUGUAAUUUCCAAGUUUCUUUUCUUUUUUCAAAGAGAAAACCCCCUCAGUUCUUUUCAGGGUGGUCCCAUGUCUACCCGCCUUGCCCUGAGCAUCACCAGCAGCAUCUGAACAAGUGAAGCAACUUUCCUUGCAGGCGUGCGCACUCCUUGGGUCCUCCCGACCCCCCAGCCUGGGGUGGUUGUGUGGAGAGGACCUUCCCAGGCUGAUAGAUGAGCUGCAACCAGUGAAUCCUGACCGAGGAGCCAGCUGCUGGCCCACAGCCCAGGCUCUGCACUUCAGUGGGCAACGACAUGGUUGACAGAGGUUUUAAGUGAUGGUUGACUACCUCUGCUAGCUCACGACUCAGAAGGGUGUUCCUGCUCUGGAUCUGCUGGAUGCUACUGUGACCUGGGGGAAGCAGCACAGGGAAAGCUCCAAGUCCCACCUCUGUGCCAGGCUCCCGGGGAACAGGGAUGAGCUCGGCAUGGCC